UUCAGACAUUUGGUUCAUGUGCUUGGCUGAUAAGCCAAUGGUGCGAAGCUACCAUCUGAGGGAUUAUGACUGAACGCCUCUAAGUCAGAAUCCCGCCUGGAAAGCGACGAUGCAUUCGUGCCUCGGCCUCGAGAGGCGUAGCUAGACGGCCGUGUGGCCGUGGAAAGAGCCCGAUUCCGACCCGAGAGGCCGCGGCAAGAGGCGGCCUCGAAGUCGGUGGAUCCUCCUGCUCGAAAGGCGGGGUGCUAAACCAUUCGCAGACGACCUAGUUGAAGAUCGGGGUGUCGUGAUCACUAGAGCAGUACAUCUCACUGCGAUUUGUUGAGAGUAAGCCUCAAGAUCUGUCGGUUUGU
rnacentral:ncRNA from 1 species